GUCUACAGCCAUGCCACCCUGAACAAGCCCGAUCCUGCCUGUUGGAAGCUAAGCAGGGUCAGGCCUGGUUAGUAUUUAGAUGGGAAACCACCUAGGAAGACCAGAUGCUGUAGAUA
rnacentral:rRNA from 1 species